rnacentral:rRNA from 14 species
CGCUACGGCCAUACCAGCGAGAAAGCUUCAGAUCCCAUCAGAACUCUGCAAAUAAGCUCGUUUGGGCGCCACUAGUAACAGGGUUAGUAAUAACCUGUGAACCUGGUGUGCUGUAGUGC